GACGAACGCUGGCGGCGUGCUUAACACAUGCAAGUCGAACGGUGAACGAGGGAGCUUGCUCCCUCCGGAUCAGUGGCGAACGGGUGAGUAACACGUGAGCAAUCUGCCCCGAACUCUGGGAUAAGCGUUGGAAACGACGUCUAAUACCGGAUACGACGCGGGAGGGCAUCCUCUCCGCGUGGAAAGAACUUCGGUUCGGGAUGAGCUCGCGGCCUAUCAGCUUGUUGGUGAGGUAACGGCUCACCAAGGCGACGACGGGUAGCCGGCCUGAGAGGGUGACCGGGCACACUGGGACUGAGACACGGCCCAGACUCCUACGGGAGGCAGCAGUGGGGAAUAGUGCACAAUGGGCGCAAGCAUGAUGCAGCAACGCCGGGUGAGGGAAGACGGCCUUCGGGGUGUAAAACUCUUGUAGCAGGGAAGAAGCGAAAGUGACGGUACCUGCAGAAAAAGCACCGGCUAACUACGG
rnacentral:rRNA from 1 species